rnacentral:rRNA from 1 species
UUGAAAGGGAAACGAUUGAAGUCAGUCGUACCGACGAGAAAUCAACUUAUCGUGUGCGAACUUGUGGGCGUGCGUGAGUUUCGGCCUCGCUGUUUGCAUGUUUGUGCGCUUUGGGUGUACUUUUUCGUAUGGUAGGCCAACGUCAGUUUCGAUUAUCAUAAAAUGACCGGCGGAAUGUAGCUUCGAUUUCGGUUGAAGUGUUAUAGCCUCUGGUAGAUGUGGUGAUUGAGACUGAGGAUUGCAACGAAUACCCUUUGGGCUAUCCGUCUGGCCUCUGAAGGUUGCUCAGGUGCCGAAAGCGUGCUUACGGUCAUCUAAGAUAACGUUCAACAGGUUAGAACGUGAUUACAUUCGUUAAGGAUGUUG